UCCUCAAAGUCGUAACACUCUACACUUCGAAUGGCUUUUGGUGCCUGCCCACCCACCACAAUCAUUAUCUUGGGAAGAAAGAAAAGACUGACUGGCGUCCUUGGUUUGGUUCUAGGAUUUUUUAUCAGCUGUCUCUGAUCCAGAGGAAGUGAGCUGGGCUGAGAGCAGUGGUG